rnacentral:rRNA from 1 species
ACUCAAAUGAAUAGACGGGGGCCCGCACAAGCAGCGGAGCGUGUGGUUUAAUUCGAUGCAACGCGCAGAACCUUACCCGGGCUUGACAUGCACGUGGUACCGACCCGAAAGGGGAGGGACCCGCAAGGGAGCGUGCACAGAUGCUGCAUGGCUGUCGUCAGCUCGUGCCGUGAGGUGUUGGGUUAAGUCCCGCAACGAGCGCAACCCCCGCCCCCAGUUGCCAUCUCUGGGGGGACCGCCGGUCCAAGCCGGAGGAAGGUGGGGACGACGUCAAGUCAGCACGGCUCUUACGCCCGGGGCUACACACACGCUACAAUGGCCGGUACAGAGGGGAGCGAGGGCGCGAGCCGGAGCCGAUCCCGCCAAAGCCGGCCCCAGUCCGGAUCGCAGGCUGCAACCCGCCUGCGUGAAGCCGGAGUUGCUAGUAACCGCCGGUCAGCACACGGCGGUGAAUGCGUUCCCGGGCCUUGUACACACCGCCCGU